rnacentral:misc_RNA from 1 species
UUGGUGGUUUCCUCCAAAAUCUUCGAAGUCUGUUACUUCCAUCCUUAAUACUUUCUUUACUAGUAUUUGCUCCUUUCGCUAGUCCAUCAGAAAAAGAAUGGGGACUGCUUGUAAGAGUCAGCAUAAGACAUGCUAAACCAAAGAUCCUCAAUAAUAUUAGAAACUUCCCAUACAACCUACACAUUCACGCUUUAAGUUACUAGUAAUCAAGGACUGCGAGAUCACCGGGAAGAAAAAGACACCAAUAAGGUGGAAGCAUUCGAAGUGUAAGAAUGAAUAUCUAUAUCAAGGAAAAUCAUGACUUUCAAAUACAAUAAAUAAACGAUUGUAAAUGGAUUGGGGAGAAAAGAUUAAAAAAAUAAGAGGUAACAUAAGGACAUCAUAAGUAAUUUGAUAAGUUAUUAGUAAACAUAAUUACAAUUUUACGCUUAUGUCAUAAGAUGCAUUGACCAGAUUUAAUACCUAAAUUUUGGAUAACAAUUGGGGAUUUUUUAGUAAGUAAUACUGAGUUACAAGAUAUAUUGCUUCAUACUAAAAUUAAAAAGAACUGAAUACCACGUUAUAAGAUAAGAAUUUCAUUCGCAAACAACUCCAACGAAUAGAUAAUCGAAUCUGUGGCUAAAUAAGCGAUAUCCAAAUUUAGAAGUCUAAUAAUAGAAAUCAUUAGAUCUGAAAAAGAAAUUCCAUGGUCAACUGACACUGUCCGUUUAUGAGAGAUUCACAAGCACUGGGGAAACUAACAAAUAGAUAAAAGAGCAUCAGGUAAUAAAAUUCUUACAUCCAACCUGUAAUUGCGGAACUAAGACUUCAAAAAUCAAAACUGCAUUGCAUUGUUGUUAUUUAUUUGCAAUUCAACAAAUCCACAAAAUUAACCCAAAGCUAACUAAUAUUUAAAGCAAAAGAGCUCGAUUCUAUCUCAAAUACCCACAAAAACCACACACCAACCUCCAACGUAAACUCAAACACGAUCAAGCUCAUCAAGCUAAACUUGUUAUCAUCCAUCAAAUACCAAAGCAACUCCGGAGAGAGAGAGAGAGAGAGAGA